UUAAUUGAAACCAAAGAGAGGUAUAUCACUGUUAAUGAUAUAAUUGAGUAAUUCUCCAAUUAAG
rnacentral:tRNA from 1 species